AAUCCAGUCGUUGCGAGGGAGGGGGGCCAGGACCUCAGCUCCCAUGGCCCCCGUUCCCCACCCCACUCCACCCCCUUCCAACGUCUCUCUCGUCGUCCUCCUCUUCCACCUCACCCUUCAAUCUGCGCCAUCCUCCCCCACCUAACUUUCACCUCACCUCUACGUUCAGUGCGAUCCCCCUUGCUUCGUUGUUGUCCAUUGAGUCCCAAUCACUUCUUCGUCGUUGUCGUGGCUCGUGGUCGGGAUCGGAGGCGCGUCUUUUGGUGGAGAUUUGCGUCAGUGGCGCUCGAUCCCGUGAGGGCUGGCAGUAGUAGUUCCAUAAUGUCCGCAAGAUUUUCUUGCACGCUGAAACCCGAGGAUCGAUGUAGUUAAGAAAAUGGCUGGACGUGAUGUUGGAGCAGCGAUUUGUAUGCCACGCUCUGACCCGUCGAUUGUGCCCCAUCCACAGCAGAUCCUGCAUUUUUCCCAUUACAACAGUAAGCAAGAUUUUUCUUCUCCUAGUAUGAUACCUCAGUAUGGUUCUCCCCGCUACAGACAGUCGACGGAGCAGGCAUCGCUGCAGGACCUCUUCUCUUCGCCCUUGGCUGGCUCCAUGACCAUGCAACCCCUGCAUCCAGGGAUUGAGCUCGACCGCGUUGGCUCGCCUCUACAACGUGGACAGUCGCUGCAAACCUGCUCUUCCCCUUCAGAUCCAGUGAAUUUACAACACUCUCCACACGUAGGCGACAUUGAGAAGGCGAAUUCCCCAUUCUCUCGACGUACCAAUGUAGCCCUAAUGCAGGACGGAUCUCCUUCAUUGAAACUCGAACAGGGCUUACAUUGUGUUGCUCCAACAACACCGAGCACCGUGCUGCCACCCUUGAAGAUGGACGACUUCAACAUGGGCUUUGGGGGUGGCCCAACCUAUGGCAGCGCGAGUGGCAAUGAGUGGAUGGAGUCCUUCAUCGGUGACCUACAACCAUGUGAAAGCACCGAGAGCUCUGCAUUGCCCCCCGUCAUGGUUGAUUCAUGGGAGAACGACUUCACCCUGCCCCGGGAGCUGCGAGUGCGAAUUAACAGCGAAAGUGAAGAUGCCUCUGCAAUGGCAGAAUUGCAGCGGACAGGGCUGCAACAAGAGGACUACGAAUUGCAGCAUCGACUUCGCACAUUGCAGCAGCUAGACCAAGCAGCGGCUGAUCCUUCCUUACAAGAAGAGCUAAGCUUUGGUGCUAGUGAUCACACCCAAUACGCAAAUAGGAAGGACGUUUCCGAAGCUGAGGAACGUUCUACAGAGAGCGACUACAGUGGUGGCUUAGACAAGGAUCACAGUGUACACCUCGUCCAUCUCCUCUUAGAAUGUGCUACUCAGAUUGAGAAGAAUCAACAUUUGGCGGUGUCUACCUUAUGCCGUCUUCGAGAUCUCUCAUCGCCCCUUGGUGAUCCUAUGCAACGAGUCGCUGCCUACUUUUGUGAUGCCUUGACAAAACGCAUUGCACGAGGGAAGGGGGAGGCAGAUCCCGGUGUGCUGGAAGCCCCCCACAACUCACCCAAGGCAUGCCAAGUGCUGAACGAGGCAUGUCCAUACAUGAAAUUCGCUCACUUGACUGCAAACCAAGCAAUUUUGGAGGCGGUGAAAGGGUGUGAGUCGGUGCAUAUUUUGGAUUUUGGGAUCACCCACGGAAUUCAGUGGGCAGCCUUGCUUCAAGCAUUUGCUUCCCUGCCGAAGAAGCAGCCACCUCCCAAGGUUAGGAUUACUGGAAUCAGUGUCAACAACCCAGCAUCUGAAUCUGCCUCUCUGUCUGUACUAGCGACGGGCAAAAGGCUUCAAUCCUUUGCAGAGCAUCUAAACGUCGAAUUUGAGUUUUGCCCUGUGAUCUUGGUGUCAAUGGAGGACUUUACCCCGGAGUCAAUCCAGCUCAACCCGGACGAGAAGACGGUUGCAAACUUCAUGCUACAACUGCAUGAGAUGCUGGAUGAGGAGGGAUCACCAUCCAUACUUAGGCUUCUCAGAUCAGUGAUUAGCCUCUCUCCCGCGCUCGUAACCCUCACAGAGCAUGAUGCCGCUCUGAACCGACCCGAGUUCAGGCCCAGAUUCAUGGACGCACUCCACUUCUACUGCGCCCUCUUCGAUUCCUUGGACUCCACCAUGCCUCGAGAUUGUCACGACCGGUUAAACGUCGAGAACAACUACUUCGCGAAACAAAUUGAGAACAUCGUAGCAAAUGAAGGCGUGGACAGGACAGAGCGUUAUGAGUGCACAGAAACGUGGAUCCGGAUCAUGGAAACGGUUGGUUUUACCCUUGUGCCGCUCAGUCACUAUGCCUAUAGUCAGGCCCAGCAGCUCUUGUGGCAAUUCUGCGACAGCUUUCGAUUGCAGAGGCCAUCUGGAUGCAUCGCCCUUGCAUGGCAGGACCGAUCUCUGAUCACGGUGUCGGCAUGGAAGUGCUCUUAGUCGCGACAUGAUGAGAAGGUGAUAAAAGGACGAUGAGGACGGCAGAUCUUGUGGCUUCAAAUGGGAAACUCAUUGUGUCAGAGUGACAGGGAUUGAUAUCUGCUUCGUUAAUGCUGGUGUCGAGAACCAGACAAGAACAAGAUCAUUUGUUCAAAGGAGGAUACUUGUGUUGCUCCAGAGAGAGAGGGGGCAUCUGGCCGAAGUUUCUUGUUGAACCUGUGACCUGCUGUCCAAAGACUGAACCUAAAGUGGGUGUUCAUUUUGCUCCGAAUCAGAGGACCUUUGCCCACAACGCAAUGAAGAUGCUGCUCUCCGGGCUUGAGUAGGACCAAAAUGCACUUGCAGCAAUCGGUUCGCAUCGCUGAUGACGGUAAGGCAGUUGUGAAGUUGAAAAAUCUUCGAGGAGCGCGAUUGUGAGAGAAGAAACAAGGCGAGUUCUAUGUCACAAUCGCUUUGCAAAAGGAAAUCUGACGGAAUUUUGUUAAAAAUUGGAAUUGAGGCGAGCAAUCAGCAACAUUGGCAUUGGGCAGGUAUGUUGCAAUAAUGUUUCGCGCGAUUUGGUGGUUACCUUCGUCAACGGCCACCCAGUUGGUAUGUUUCGUCGCUAGGUUUUGUUUUAAGUACGUUGUACAAAUUCGUAUAUUUAGUGAUAUCUCCUACGUGAUUGAAACUCAUCUUAAGGAAGUUUGAUUUUUGUACCACCUGCACACUAAGCUGCCUGAGCAUCUACUCCUCUGCAGCUACUGCUGUAUUUCCGAGCACCUGAAUGUAAGAUGAGCUUUCUUUCAAGUCGCAAACAAGAGAGCGAGCGGCCAGCCAGACCAGCGUUAUUCGUUGUCGGAGAUGGAUUCAACUUUGACCUCGAGCUCAUCCAGAGAGCCUUAAAGCACGAGUUCUGUCGACUACGGAGUCGUCGCCAUGAGAAUGGUCUAGAUUUUGAACAGACUGGGACGGUACAAGACUGGGAGCUUGUACAGGGUUCAGUGGUUUGCAGUGGCAACAUCAAGCUCCUCGAUGAUUGGCUGCCUGGUAUUCUAAUCCUCCGGACCACCAACCGCAGAUCCAUCCCCAACAUCACCACCCACACCCAAUCCUAGUCCUUAGAACCCGAUCACCGCACCGCGGCGCACUAGCAACAGGCGGCGUCAUUCCCGCCCCUUUGCACCCUGACAACUCUCCCGUCAUAACCAGCUGGGCAUGGCCUUUACCGCCGGCUCUCGCCACAGACCCAAGUUGUGCGUCAUUAUGAUUCGACUCAGUACUUGCAGCGCUGUAAAAGUUUGCCAGAUGAGCCGUGAAUGCUGCCUUUUUCCGGGACCGAUAAUUGACCCUCCUUUUUGGUGUUAGUUUCCAAGCUUUCAGUUCCUGGUUCUGAAGGAGGAAGACCACCUGUAACACUGCCUCUGUAGCACAUCUGUUGAACUAUCCUCAAGUUGGCUCGGUUGCUGCAGUCCUAGCUCACCAAUUACGGUACCAUCACUGGAGUUUAACAGAUGUAUUGUGUUCCUGGAAAAACGAUUUCAGUAAAUAUCUCGCUCGCUUCGGAGUUGGUUGAACACCACUCAAAGCCUUCCAAGGCGGUAACCUAUUCGAACUCGACACCAGGUUCAGCUAUUGAAUACAACGUGCUAGGGUCCGAUCGUAACGGGCGAUGUGAAGAAGGGCUUCGAAUCAGGCCCUGAAACAACUUCGCCGUUAAGCUAGCCAUUCCGCGUCGGUCCAUACACCGACGCCGCGGCGGCUUUGCUAGAUGGAUGAACGUAAUAGGAUGAAAAUAGUUGGAUGGCCUACCCCGUUAUUGCGCUUCGGAUGAUCCAUUCUGUUACCGCGGUUCGGAUGAAUGUGGUUGGAUUGUGAAAACUGUUGUUGCGAUUCGGAUGAAUG